GCCCUCAGCUCAUUUGGUAGAGCAUGAGACUUAAAUCUCAGGGUCAUGGAUUCAAGCCCCAUACUGGGCA